rfam:Schistosoma rodhaini strain Burundi genome assembly, scaffold: SROB_scaffold0010819
AUCCAGCUGACGAAACUUUAAUCGGACGAAACGCGCGUCCUGGAU